rnacentral:rRNA from 1 species
GUGUCAGCCGCCGCGGUAAUACGGAGGGUGCAAGCGUUAUCCGGAUUCACUGGGUUUAAAGGGUGCGUAGGCGGGUAGGUAAGUCAGUGGUGAAAUCCUGGAGCUCAACUCCAGGACUGCCAUUGAUACUAGCUAUCUUGAAUAUUGUGGAGGUAAGCGGAAUAUGUCAUGUAGCGGUGAAAUGCUUAGAUAUGACAUAGAACACCCAUUGCGAAGGCAGCUUACUACGCAUAUAUUGACGCUGAGGCACGAAAGCGUGGGGAUCAAACAGGAUUAGAAACCCGGGUAGUCC